rnacentral:rRNA from 1 species
UACGUAGGGGCAAGCGUUGUCCGGAUUCAUUGGGCGUAAAGAGCGUGUAGGCGGCCAGGUAGGUCGGUUGUGAAAACUGGAGGCUCAACCUUCAGAGGUCGACCGAAACCAUCUGGCUAGAGUCCGGAGAGGAGAGUGGAAGUUCCUGGUGUAGCGGUGAAUGACGCAGAUAUCAGGAAGAACACCCGUGGCGAAAGCGGCUCUCUGGAACGGUACUGACGCUGAGACGCGAAGCGUGGGGAGCGAACAGG